rfam:Spinacia oleracea cultivar SynViroflay scaffold10713.con0005.1, whole genome shotgun sequence.
UGUCAGUGAUGAUAUGUAAUGAUGUGUCAAUGUAUGAACAAUUAAAUGAUUACAUAAACAUUACUGCCUUCCUUCUGAGACU